AUUGAACGCUGGCGGCAGGCCUAACACAUGCAAGUCGAACGCGUGGCGGACGGGUGAGUAAUGUCUGGGAAACUGCCUGAUGGGGGGGGAUAACUACUGGAAACGGUCGCUAAUACCGCAUACCCUCGGAUGUGCCCAGAUGGGAUUAGAUAGUGGGGGGGGUAACGGCUCACCUGGGCGACGAUCCAUCGGUGGUCUGAGAGGAUGACCAGCCACACUGGAACUGAGACACGGUCCAGACUCCUACGGGAGGCAGCAGUGGGGAAUAUUGCACAAUGGGCGCAAGCCUGAUGCAGCCAUGCCGCGUGUAUGAAGAAGGCCUUCGGGUUGUAAAGUACUUUCAGCGGGGAGGCGUUACCCGCAGAAGAAGCACCGGCUAACUCCGUGCCAGCAGCCGCGGUAAUUC
rnacentral:rRNA from 1 species